rnacentral:rRNA from 1 species
GACGAACGCUGGCGGCGUGCCUAAUACAUGCAAGUUGAGCGCUGAAGGUUGGUACUUGUACCAACUGGAUGAGCAGCGAACGGGUGAGUAACGCGUGGGGAAUCUGCCUUUGAGCGGGGGACAACAUUUGGAAACGAAUGCUAAUACCGCAUAAAAACUUUAAACACAAGUUUUAAGUUUGAAAGAUGCAAUUGCAUCACUCAAAGAUGAUCCCGCGUUGUAUUAGCUAGUUGGUGAGGUAAAGGCUCACCAAGGCGAUGAUACAUAGCCGACCUGAGAGGGUGAACGGCCACGUUGGGACUGAGACACGGCCCAAACUCCUACGGGAGGCAGCAGUAGGGAAUCUUCGGCAAUGGACGAAAGUCUGACCGAGCAACGCCGCGUGAGUGAAGAAGGUUUUCGGAUCGUAAAACUCUGUUGGUAGAGAAGAACGUUGGUGAGAGUGGAAAGCUCAUCAAGUGACGGUAACUACCCAGAAAGGGACGGCUAACUACGUG